UUUCAGAGGAUGAGUCCAGGAACGUCAUGGUGGGAAGCAUGGCAACAGUGCCCCAGGACUCUACCAGCAAGAAGACCAUUCCCAGAUGAGGCCCCUCAACCUUGAACUCCAGGCCUGUGAGCAAAUAUCAACGUCUUUCCUUGAUGAAGUUACAUGCCCUCGUAUUUCAACACAGUAACAGAAAAUGGACUAGUAUAAAGAACAACCUUAGGACUGCCUCAUAUUUUAUUAAAUUUGUAAAAUAUUUGGCACAGUAAAAACCCUCCACAUCUG